GACCAGUGUAAGCCACGUGAUCAUCCACGCGAACUGUGCAGAGUCGCUGAUACUGAGACACCAGCAAUCAUUGCCAAGACCCCUGAUGCCUGAGGCAAAGGUGAUGUUCGACUUCCUUCUACUGCUGCAGUUUGUAUGGUGAUGGUCCUUCCACAGUGCUUUUAGCUAUAGGUACAGUCAGUGGAAUGAUGCCUUUUCUCACUGCCCUCUGAGUUGAGACGAACAUUGGAAUGUGUUCCUGUCACCCUGUGGGGAAUAAGGUUGGACAAAGCAGCUUCAUCCUCAGUCUGUUGCAUUAGUGACCGGCUGCAUCAUUGCUGAAACAUUGAACUGAAAUGAGAACUUCCUGAGUGGAUUGUUUACUGAGUGAGUUUGAUUGAUUGAUGAAUUUGGGUGAAGGGAUAUUUCAGCACAUUCUUCAGCUGCUGUCUGAACUUAGUCUGGGUCACGGCAUAAAUCGCGGUGUUUGUGCAGCAACUGAGUAGCUGCAGCAUGAAGCCCAAUUCCUGCACAAAUUUAGGUACACGCUCAAGCUGAGACCCCAUAUUCCACAUCCGGUUCCAUAUAGAAUACGCCAUUAAUAUUGACCAUAACAAGAUGAAAUUGGCUGAGAUCACAAACAGUAAAAUAAUGGAUUUUUUCCGAUUUCUCAUUUCUGCGUCACACUGACCAUCCUCAUUGGUGUGAGCCCGGAGUCUCCUGCGG